AGGUUACUGCUAUCGGUGUUCGCCUAAGCCAUGCGAGUCAUAUGUUCGUAAGAACAUGGCGUACUGCUCAGUAACACGUGGAUAACCUGCCCUUGGGUCCGGCAUAACCCCGGGAAACUGGGGAUAAUUCCGGAUAACGCACAUAUGCUGGAAUGCUUUUUGCGUAAAAUGGAUUCGUCUGCCCAAGGAUGGGUCUGCGGCCUAUCAGGUAGUAGUGAGUGUAAUGUACCUACUAGCCUACGACGGGUACGGGUUGUGAGAGCAAGAGCCCGGAGAUGGAUUCUGAGACAUGAAUCCAGGCCCUACGGGGCGCAGCAGGCGCGAAAACUUUACAAUGCGGGAAACCGUGAUAAGGGGACACCGAGUGCCAGCAUCCUAUGCUGGCUGUCCGGGUGUGUAAAAUACACCUGUUAGCAAGGGCCGGGCAAGACCGGUGCCAGCCGCCGCGGUAACACCGGCGGCCCGAGUGGUGAUCGUGAUUAUUGGGUCUAAAGGGUCCGUAGCCGGUUUGGUCAGUCCUCCGGGAAAUCUGACAGCUCAACUGUUAGGCUAUCGGAGGAUACUGCCAGACUUGGAACCGGGAGAGGUAAGAGGUACUACAGGGGUAGGAGUGAAAUCUUGUAAUCCCUGUGGGACCACCUGUGGCGAAGGCGUCUUACCAGAACGGGUUCGACGGUGAGGGACGAAAGCUGGGGGCACGAACCGGAUUCGAUACCCGGGUAGUCCCAGCCGUAAACGAUGCUCGCUAGGUGUCAGGCAUGGCGCGACCGUGUCUGGUGCCGCAGGGAAGCCGUGAAGCGAGCCACCUGGGAAGUACGGCCGCAAGGCUGAAACUUAA
rnacentral:rRNA from 1 species